AGCUCCAAUAGCGUAUAUUAAAGUUGCUGCAGUUAAAAAGCUCGUAGUUGGAUUUCUGGCUUGAGACAUGCGGCCGGCCACGGUUUCGUGUGUUAGUGCUGUAUGUUCUGGCCAUCCUUCCAAUCGCUGUCGCUGCUCUUCAUUGAGUGGUGCGACAGUAUUGGAUCUUUUACUUUGAAAAAAUUAGAGUGUUUCAAGCAGGCUUUUGCUAUGAAUACAUUAGCAUGGAAUAAUAAUUUAGGACUUCGGUUCUAUUUUGUUGGUUUCUAGGACUGAAGUAAUGAUUGAUAGGGAUAGUUGGGGGUGCUAGUAUUCAGCGGCCAGAGGUGAAAUUCUCGGAUUCGCUGAAGACUAACUUAUGCGAAAGCAUUCACCAAGGAUAUCUUCU
rnacentral:rRNA from 1 species